GGAGAAUUGCUUGACAGAAUAUUGUCAAGAGGUGGUAAAUAUUCAGAGGAUGAUGCCAAACUUAUUAUUGUUCAAAUUCUAAACGUAGUUGCAUUUUGUCAUCUCCAAGGUGUUGUCCACCGUGACCUGAAGCCUGAGAAUUUCCUUUUCACCUCCCGAGAUGAAGAUGCUGAUAUGAAGCUCAUUGAUUUUGGUCUUUCUGACUU
rnacentral:misc_RNA from 1 species